AGAUUNCUUCGGGNUGAUUUGUUGGACNCUAGCGGCGGAUGGGUGAGUAACACGUGGGCAAUCUGCCCUAAAGACUGGGAUACCACUUGGAAACAGGUGCUAAUACCGGAUAACAACAUGAAUCGCAUGAUUCAAGUUUGAAAGGCGGCGUAAGCUGUCACUUUAGGAUGAGCCCGCGGCGCAUUAGCUAGUUGGUGGGGUAAAGGCCUACCAAGGCAAUGAUGCGUANCCGAGUUGAGAGACUGAUCGGCCACAUUGGGACUGAGACACGGCCCAAACUCCUACGGGAGGCAGCAGUAGGGAAUCUUCCACAAUGGACGCAAGUCUGAUGGAGCAACGCCGCGUGAGUGAAGAAGGUUUUCGGAUCGUAAAGCUCUGUUGUUGGUGAAGAAGGAUAGAGGCAGUAACUGGUCUUUAUUUGACGGUAAUCAACCAGAAAGUCACGGCUAACUACGUGCCAGCAGCCGCGGUAAUACGUAGGUGGCAAGCGUUGUCCGGAUUUAUUGGGCGUAAAGCGAGCGCAGGCGGAAUGAUAAGUCUGAUGUGAAAGCCCACGGCUCANCCGUGGAACUGCAUCGGAAACUGUCAUUCUUGAGUGCANAANAGGAGAGUGGAANUNCCAUGUGUAGCGGUGGAAUGCGUANAUAUAUGGAANAACACCAGNNNNAAGGNGGCUCUCUGGUCUGNACUGACGCUGAGGNUCNAAAGCAUGGGUAGCGANNGGAUUANAUACCCNGGNANNCCAUGNCGUAA
rnacentral:rRNA from 1 species